CUUCCAAUCGUCGGGAAAUGUCUUCGUCAGUAUGCUUUUGUUAACUAUAGUCACAAUGAUGUCCAUAGUUCGCGUCAAUGUCAUUUCUACCAUGUCUACCGAAAUCAAGUCCAUUCCUUUGGCGGCUGUUUUUAUUCGUUUCACAGCUUUAUAGACUUGUUCCGCAGUUACAGUCGUAAGUCCAAAUGUCUUGUCUGAGUGUCUGUUUGUUGUAAAGUAAGUUAAGUCUGAUGCAGAUACGUCGUUGUUUCCUGGUACGUCUAGGAAAUGUCUGUUAAUUUCGUCCGGGUCAUUAAAAUGUGUCGGUAUGUCAUUAUCAUUUUUAGUCGGCAGUACAGUCUUUUUUAAGUUCUUCCACAAUGUCUUAGAGUCAUGAGCGUUGUUAUUGAUAUUUCGUUCAAAGAACACUUUUUUUUCAAAAUAUAAGGCCACAUUGACUUGAUGUUUUAAGUCUUUGUAGUAUUGUCUCUUUGAGUCAGUUUUAGUCUUUCUGUAUUCGUCAUAGGCGUCGUCACGUAACUGCAUCAUGAAUCUAAUAUUGUCAGUGAUCCAUGGAUGUGGUGACUCUCUCACUAUGACCGUCUUUUCAGGCGCGUGCAGGUCAAAUAGACCUAUGAUCGAUUGAUUGAGACACCUCACCAUGUCACUGACAUCGUCCAGUCUGUUUAUUUUGUCCCAGUCUAGUAAAUCUAAGUCUUUAUUAAACUGUUCAAUGUCUAUAUCCCUAAUUGGUCUGUAAGUAAUAGUCCUAGGUUUGGUCUUUGUCUUUUUAAUGUCAAGAGUUAUAGUAACAAAAGCAUGUCGUCCUAAGGGUCGUUUGUAUAUGACAUUAACAUCUCGAACCUUAGCGUCUGUACAUAUUAGGUCAAUUGUCGUCUGGCUGGUUUCUGUAAAAUGCGUGGGCUCCUGUACGUGUUGUGUCAAGUUAAGUGUAUUUAGAAAAUUUUCUAAUGACUUAAAAGAUGCACAGUUAUAGUUUGAAAAGUCUAUGUUAAAGUCCCCUAAUAAAACGAUCCUGUCAUAGUCUUUAAAUGAAGUUAUGGAGUCUGUCAUUGCGUCUAAAAAUAAGUCUACGUUUACCCAAUCUGGUCUGUAAGCUGUGCCAAUAAUGAUCUUUUUCCCGUUUACAUUUAAUCUGAUCCACAUUUGCUCGACGGUAGUAGCGGGGGGGUGUGGUAGGGUGCGGGCGGAGAGGCCCUGCCGCACAAAGAAUCCCACGCCUCCGCCCCGCGAGCGCAGUCGCCUCGGCCGCGCCACGUGACGCAGUCGAUAGCCGGCUACUCGCGGAGCGCGGCCCUCCUCGCCGUCACGUAACCACGUCUCAUUUAUCGCCACCACGUCUGCUAAAGAGUUGUGUAUAGUCACAGUCAGUUCGUCGUGUCCUGUACCAAGAGAACCUGCAUUAAACAAACCAACCUUAAAGUAUUUAGUGUUAGUCAUAGUUAUGUAUGAUUAGAAGUGCCAAAACAAUUUGGAUGUGAAGGAAAAAAGGCAACACUUUGAGUACACAACAGGAUUUGCAGCCAGCCUGCUGAACCCGGGGUCAUCCCGCCCGCCGCACCGACGCUCCACCACCUGUUCAUGCCUCCUACUAGAAAAAUGAUCGCACACAUAAGAUUAUCUACAAUGAGGCAACAGAGCAUGGCCAGGCAGAACAGACACAGAUACACACAGAAGAGAAUAUGAAAAAAUACACAUUUACAAAGUGGAGCGAACUGGUUCCUCUCCAAAAAUAUUAGUUAGGUCAUUAACACAUCUGAUUCUAAAUGACGGCUUGCCUUCAGCUUGGCGUACAAACACACGCCCAUCCUUUGUCCAAAUGAAACGCCA